rnacentral:rRNA from 1 species
CGGGUGAGUAACGCGUAGGAAUCUACCAAGUAGUGGGGGAUAAGCCAGAGAAAUUUGGUCUAAUACCGCAUACGUUCUUCGGAAGAAAGGAGGGGAUCUUCGGACCUUUCGCUAUUUGAUGAGCCUGCGUGAGAUUAGCUUGUUGGUGAGGUAAGAGCUCACCAAGGCGACGAUCUCUAGCUGGUCUGAGAGGAUGAUCAGCCACACUGGGACUGAGACACGGCCCAG